rnacentral:rRNA from 1 species
GACGGGGGGGGCAAGCGUUGUUCGGAAUUACUGGGCGUAAAGGGCGCGCAGGCGGGCGAGAAAGUCUCUCGUGAAAGCCCACGGCUCAACCGUGGAAUUGCGGUGGAAACUACUUGUCUUGAGUCCGGGAGAGGAGAGUGGAAUUCCCAGUGUAGCGGUGAAAUGCGUAGAUAUUGGGAGGAACACCGGUGGCGAAGGCGGCUCUCUGGAUCGGUACUGACGCUGAGGCGCGAAAGCUAGGGGAGCAAACGGG